rnacentral:rRNA from 1 species
AGGAUGAACGCUAGCGGCAGGCUUAACACAUGCAAGUCGAGGGGUAACGGGGUGCUUGCACCGCCGACGACCGGCGCACGGGUGAGUAACGCGUAUACAACCUACCUUUUGGAGGGGGAUAGCCCGGGGAAACCCGGAUUAACACCCCAUAUUUCCAAGGCGGCGAUUGCCGCUUUGGUGAAACAUUCAUGGCCAAAAGAUGGGUAUGCGUCCCAUUAGCUGGUAGGUAAGGUAACGGCUUACCUAGGCAAUGAUGGGUAGGGCCCUGAGAGGGGGGUCCCCCACACUGGUACUGAGACACGGACCAGACUCCUACGGGAGGCAGCAGUGAGGAAUAUUGGACAAUGGGCGGAGCCUGAUCCAGCCAUGCCGCGUGCAGGAAGACGGCCCUAUGGUUGUAAACUGCUUUUACACGGGAAGAACACCCCUUGCGAGGGCUUGACGUACGUGCGAAUAAGGAUCGGCUAACGUCCGUGCCAGCAGACCGC